rnacentral:lncRNA from 1 species
UUUGAACUUGGUCACCUGGAAUAUAUAUAGAGUUGACACUUUCAAAACUGCAAUGAUCAAUUCAAAGUGAGGGGCCAUCUCUUCAAUCAUUUUCAGUCUUGUAGGUAAGAAGGAAUUCAUUGUUUAUCAUAAGUAUAGGGAAAAAGGAUAAGUGAUUAAGAGAUGAUGUGAUGGUAGAGUACUGAUACAGAAAUAGAUUAUUAUUAUUAAUAUUGUCAUACAUUUAGCUUCUCUUACAUCUUAAUUUCACCCCAAAAAUUAAGUGAAAAAUUUUCCCUCAGAUAUAGUAAGUCAAGUACUUGCAAAAUGGAUAAACUGGCUAUUAGCAUGAAAAGAUAAAGUUGUACUCUUUUGAUAAACAUUCACAAACCAAAACCAAUUUUUAGUCAGGGAUACUAGCACCCCCUUCGUUUCUUUUCUUUUCUUUUCUAUUUUUAAUUAAUAUCACCGCUUCAGUUUACCUCAACAAAAAUGUUUUGCUGCUAACCUUAUAAGUGGCAUUCAAAAUAGCUGCUAGAUGACAUAUUUUUAAUUUAUAAAAAUUCCUACAAAGAGGUUGAUAAAUGCUAGAUAACAUAUCUCUAGUCUCUAGUCACUACACUUGUGAACUGAAGUAUUUGCUUUUUAAACACCUCAGGGUUAUGUAUCACAAAACAAACUCCUCAGCGAAUUUAAAAAACAAGAUACAAGAAAAAGUCAUAAAACUUACCUGAGCAACCAAAGGAGGCAUCUGAAGAAUGUGUUUUGCUUCAGGAAUGUCAUAAAC